rnacentral:rRNA from 1 species
GACGAACGCUGGCGGCGUGCUUAACACAUGCAAGUCGAACGGUGAAGCGCCUUCCUUUUUGGUGGGUGUGGAUGAGUGGCGAACGGGUGAGUAACACGUGAGUAACCUGCCCCCUUCUUCUGGAUAACCGCAUGAAAGUGUGGCUAAUACGGGAUAUUCUGGGUCUGUCGCAUGAUGGGUCUGGGAAAGAUAUUGUUUCGGUGGGGGAGGGUUUGCGGACUAUCCGGUUGUUGGGGGGGGGAUGGCCUACCCAGGCGGUGGCGGGUAGCCGGCCCGGGAGGGUGGACGGUCACACGGGGAAGGCGACACGGCCAAGACUCCUACGGGAGGCAGCAGUGGGGAAUAUUGCACAAUGGGCGCAAGGCUGAUGCAGCGACGCCGCGUGAGGGAUGGAGGCCUGCGGGUUGUGAACCUCUUUCGCCAGUGAAGCAGGCCUGCCUCGUUUGUGGGUGGGUUGACGGUAGCUGGAGAAGAAGCGCCGGCUAACUACGUG